UAAAUUAUUUUAAAUUGUGGUUUAAUCUUGCUAUCAUUUUAGUUAGUCGCUAUCAUUUGGUUAGGCUCCUAUUUGUUUUGUGAUAGAUGCAUUCGUGUUGACACAGAGUAAUCGCCGGCGUGUUGGAAAGCGCACCAUCUCGGGAGUCAACAGACAACAGCAAUUUAGCCUCACUGAAGUUUGUCCAGAAAAAUGCAGUGUACACGUUCAUUUGCGUAGCUUAUUGUGAAGGACUCAGGAUUCCCGGGCUGUGUGAUGCAGACCAAGGACAGAGGCUGAGCAAGCAGCAAUAUUGUAAUAUUGACAUAAAG